ensembl:lincRNA
GGGAAAGCAAGAGGAGAGGAGUAAUUAAGGAUUUAGUGUGAUCCUCUUGAAACAGCUGGAGAGGCUUUAGGAGACCAGAUUACAUGCACAUUGGUUGGUAUUAUUACCCCUGGAAUCAAAAAGAAUAUGAAAAAUGAAGAGUGGGCUAACAUUUUAAAAUGAUGGGGCAAUGGGUUGCCAGAAAGGUACUUCCAGGAUGUCUUGAAACCUAUUUGGAAGAAAGUCACCAAUCAGAUGAAGGGGCUUGUGAAGUGAUAUUUGAUGGGAAUGGAAGAAAAGUACUGGAGAGGGGUGGCUGAGGAACGAGAGAUCAAGGGAUAUGCUGCUAAAACACUCAAGAAGCAAAUGGAGGUUUCUCUGUGCCUCCCAGGAGAGACGAGGAGGAGAUGCAGGGAUAAUGUUCACAGGAACAAUGUGGCAAAGCAUCUCUCUGAAGUAUUUAAUGCAAUUUGUCCUUCCAACAACUCAAUCGCUACCUCCACUGAGAAGGGAAGAGACACCUCUUAAAGAUCUGCAGCGGUGGCUCAUGAGAUGGUGGCUGCUGUCUUUUAUACUAGAACACACAGGGAGAGCAGAAGGAGCAUUCCCAAGUGGCUAGACCUAUAUAAAGGAACAGGUAAAUGUCACAAAACAAUUUUUUAUUUUCUUCUCCCUCUUCAAACUAACAAGCUCCAUCUCCCUGCUGUAAAGAAGGGUUCUGCCCUUCUGGGCCUCUGGUGAGCACAAGGCACAGUGGGUGGGAAGCAGGCAUAGUUUGGCACAAGGGGAGGCCCUUCACACCCCCUGUCAGCCCCCUCUUUUGCUGCCUCUUUGCCACUUUGCACUGUGGGAGGUCUAAAGUGGACCAAAGCUGCAGUUGUUACCUGCACAAAGAAAGGUGAGAGUCUAAAAAGAACCUGAAGAGGUAACAGUAAUUUUAAUCAAGAAAGGAAAAGUUUUUGAAAUGGGUCACUGUCUUAAAGAUGUCCAUUGGCUGUUUGCCCAGAUGUUACUUUUCCUGCCUCACAUCAUCACGGGACAGCCUCUCCUGAAAAGAAGAAUGGGAAAAAAGACAUCAGGGGGAUCCAGAUAGCCAGGGUGGCUGCCAUGGUUAUCAGAGCCAGGUGGCCAAUGUUCCAUAGUCAGUGAACUCACUGUCUUGGCCAUUGUCUGUGCAAAUUUGUGGUCUUAAUGGACCCAGGUACCUUAGACUUGUUUUAAGGGGGCACAUGCCAAGGAGAAAUUGCUGCCUUGAGAAAUGAUGCAAAAAAGAGGCAAAUAAGGGGCACAAGUGAAUGUGGCUUUGUGGGCGGGUUGGACUUGCACAGGAUAAAUUGAGCCAAGUGAUGUUAAAUGAGAGACAUCAAACAUGAGAUUUAAAAAGUUGAUAUUCUUCCUAAUUAGCCAGAGAUGCUUCUCCAGCCUUGCAGUGUAAUUCAGGCAGGAAUAUGCAAAUACAAAGACCUAGGGAGAAAUGGAAAGUUGGAGCAGCCACAGCAACAACAACUAAACCAGGUGUGCAAGGCUAAUGUGAGAAAACCUGUGGGCGGCAUCUCACUGCAGGGUGAGUGUGUGACCCCAGGAGCCUCUGAUACCAAACACCAGCAUGCUAUACCUGGCAUCAGUUCUUAGGUGACGGCAACAUUGGUGCUGUACUUUUGAAAUUGUUGGGUGCCUAUUUAAUAAAACGGCAGCUCAGCAAUGCAUCUUGGUAUUCUCACUUCGAGAGGACCUUGUAGCAUUCCUUGUAGAUCACUGUGGUCACUGUGGUAUCAGAAUCAUUCUCAUCACAGCACUCAGAGUGGUCAGGGUUGGCCCAGGAGGCGAAAUCCAUUUGCAGUCCAUGCAGUGCCUUUUGUCUUCUCAACGGGUUUGCUUGCCAAGGGCUGAGCAAGAAAGCUCUAUUCAGGGCUGUUAAAAUAGAAGCACUUUAACUGGGCGUUGGGUCACUAAGUUCUGGGGCCAAGGUUGGCAGCUCCCCACCCCUUGAUAAAGUGACAGUUAAUGACUGACUGUCCAACAAGCUCUGUCGCUGUGUUGCUAUGUACCUGGGCAGACCAAAAUGCCCAACAAAUAAGAUAGUCUUGGCAAGAGUGAGUGUACAUCUCUUUUUAAUGUGUGUUGUGGUGUGUGUGUGUGUGUGUGUGUGUGUGUGUGUGUGUGUGUGUGUGUGUGAGAGAGAGAGAGAGAGAGAGAGAGAGAGAGAGAGAGAGAGAUUAAUUCUGACUAUAGGAGUGACAAAAUACACAGGUUUUUCUAACACAUAAAAACACUAAUUUAUGCUCUCCUCGCCUGCUGCCAUUUCCUGUCAUAACCAGCCCCCCUUUUCUUUGGAGGACACAAUUGAAUCCAGUGCCAGCUCAGAUAUGACCAGCUGUGCUUCCAGCAACCACAGGUGUCUUGGUCCUCAAUGACCAAGUCAACAUGUACAUAACUCCUUUCAUCUAGGUGCUUGUGUAGUUGAAGAGCUGGGAAAAGUCUGCCUCAAGUCGUUCUGUGGAGAGGGUGCCAAGAGAAGAGAUCCUUGCCUAAGUGUGUGGUUAUAAUGUGUAGCAGGAUGAUAUUUCACAAUCUCUGACUAUGGGGAUUUUUUUUUAACCUUAUGGGAGGCUAUUCUGUUUAAUUUAUUCUACUUCUUUUUGACUCACCCUCCCUCAACAGAUCUGGAAGUGACUCUGAAAGUUAUCUUAUUUUUUUUUCUUAAAUUAAAAAUUGAAAGUUAUUGUUUAUUAUUGGGUAGGCCCUGUUCUCUUAUUUUUUUUUUUUCUGUUCUCCCAUGAGUCAGUAAAGACCCCAACCUUUGAUCAAACAGAUAAAAAAUUGACCAAGCUGCAUACUGGGAAGUUUAGUUGUUUUGAUUUACUGUAUUUAUUUUGUAAGGCUCCUUGAUAUCUGUUUUUUUAUAAUAGUCUAGGGAACCAAAAUAAUACUCCUUGAAUAAAUGCAAGCAAAAC